AUGGCAGGCGCGGGUCAAGGUGUGGUAUCUGUUCUUAUCAGCUUAAUAUCUGAUACGGGUUGUAUUUGGACUCAAAAUAUAACACUUAUUUUUGCAAGCUUGGCUCAGUGCUUCAAACGUGCUUCACCUCCGCCGCGGGCCGACCCGGUAUAUAUAGCACUAUGUUCGGGAACGGCGCACGAUUU